rnacentral:rRNA from 1 species
GACGAACGCUGGCGGCGUGCUUAACACAUGCAAGUCGAACGGAAAGGCCCUGCUUUCGUGGGGUGCUCGAGUGGCGAACGCGUGAGUAACACGUGAGUAACCUGCCCUUGACUUUGGGAUAACUUCAGGAAACUGGGGUUAAUACCGGAUAGGAGCUCCUGCUGCAUGGUGGGGGUUGGAAAGUUUCUGCGGUUGGGGAUGGACUCGCGGCUUAUCAGCUUGUUGGUGGGGUAGUGGCUUACCCAGGCUUUGACGGGUAGGCGGCCUGAGAGGGUGACCGGGCACAUUGGGCCUACGGGACGGACCAGACUCCUACGGGAGGCAGCAGUGGGGAGUAUUACACAAUGGGCGGAAGCCUGAUGCAGCAGCGCCGCGUGCGGGAUGACGGCCUUCGGGUUGUAAACAGCUUUAGCCUAUGACGAAGCGUGAGUGACGGUAAUGGGUAAAGAAGCACCGGCUAACUACGUG